UGCAGCACUGGGGCUACUUUUUAACGCGGCAGGGUAUAUAUGGUACCCGUUCUCUAGCUCGGUGUGGGAAGACAUCGGUCCUCAAGGCCUGAUAUACAUAGGCUACGGGUUUGCCAACACUGUGAUAGCUCCUAUUAUGGGCGACCUGGUGGAGAUAAGACAUAGAUCCGAGUACGGGCAGGUGUACGGCUUGACCAGUGGGUUUUACUCUCUGGGGUUUAUCACAGGCACUGUUGGAGCCGGUGUUCUUGUGAGCCUAACGUCAUUUGACUGGGUCUGUCUUGGCAUAGCUAUAAUUACCGUACUUUACUGCUGUACAUGUGUCUUUUUCCGUAACCCACCGAGUAAAAAUGUAGAUCCA